rnacentral:rRNA from 1 species
GAUGAACGCUGGCGGCGUGCCUAAUACAUGCAAGUCGAGCGAACAGAUAAGGAGCUUGCUCCUUUGACGUUAGCGGCGGACGGGUGAGUAACACGUGGGUAACCUACCUAUAAGACUGGGAUAACUUCGGGAAACCGGAGCUAAUACCGGAUAACAUUUGGAACCGCAUGGUUCUAAAGUGAAAGAUGGUUUUGCUUUCACUAAUAGAUGGACCCGGGCCGUAUUAGCUAGUUGGUAAGUUAACGGCUUACCAAGGCAACGAUACGUAGCCGACCUGAAAGGGGGAUCGGCCACACUGGAACUAGGACACGGUCCAGACUCCUACGGGGGGCAGCAGUAGGGAAUCUUCCGCAAUGGGCGAAGGCCUGACGGGGCAACGCCGCGUGAGUGAUGAAGGGUUUCGGCUGGUAAAACUCUGUUAUUAGGGAAGAACAAAUGUGUAAGUAACUGUGCACGUCUUGACGGUACCUAAUCAGAAAGCCACGGCUAACUACGUG